UUAGGCGACCAUACCACGUUGAAAGCACAGGUUCUCAUCCGAUCACCGAAGUUAAGCCACGUUGAGCGUGGUUAGUACUUGCCUGGGUGACCGGCUGGGAAUACCGGGUGUUGCCGGCC
rnacentral:rRNA from 1 species